rnacentral:rRNA from 1 species
GACGAACGCUGGCGGCGUGCUUAACACAUGCAAGUCGAACGGAAAGGCCUUUUCGGCGGUCCUCUAGUGGUGAACGGGUGCGUAACACGUGGGUGAUCUGCACUGCCCUCUGGGACAAGCCUGGGAACCUGGGUCUAAUACCGGUUAGGACCCCACUUUCGUGCGUGUGGUGGCAAGUGUUUUCGGUGUAGGAUGAGCGCGCGGCCUAUCAGCUUGUUGGUGGUGGAAUGGCCUACCAAGGCGGAGCCGGGUAGCCGGACAGAGGGGUUGUGCGGCGACAUUGGGACUGAGAGACGGCAGAGACUGGGACGGGUGGCCGCAGGGGGGAAUAUUGCACAAUGAGCGCAAGCCUGAUGCAGCAGGGCCUCGGGGGGGAUGACGCUUUUGUGGGUGUAGACACCUUUCGCCAGGGACGAAGCGUUUUGUGACGGUACCUAGAGAAGAAGCACCGGCUAACUACGUG